rnacentral:rRNA from 1 species
GAUGAACGCUGGCGGCGUGCCUAACACAUGCAAGUCGAGCGAUUCUCUUCGGAGAAGAGCGGCGGACGGGUGAGUAACGCGUGGGUAACCUGCCCUGUACACACGGAUAACAUACCGAAAGGUAUGCUAAUACGGGAUAACAUGAGAGAGUCGCAUGGCUUUUUUAUCAAAGCUCCGGCGGUACAGGAUGGACCCGCGUCUGAUUAGCUAGUUGGUGAGGUAAUGGCUCACCAAGGCGACGAUCAGUAGCCGACCUGAGAGGGUGAUCGGCCACAUUGGAACUGAGACACGGUCCAAACUCCUACGGGAGGCAGCAGUGGGGAAUAUUGCACAAUGGGCGAAAGCCUGAUGCAGCAACGCCGCGUGAGCGAUGAAGGCCUUCGGGUCGUAAAGCUCUGUCCUCAAGGAAGAUAAUGACGGUACUUGAGGAGGAAGCCCCGGCUAACUACGUGCCAGCCGCCGCAGUAA